CCACAAUUGCUGACUAAAAGAAAGCUGAUAUAGGUAUUAAUCUCACCAAGGUACUCUGUACAUCCCACUUUAGGUAUGAUCGUGGAAAACAUUGGACAAGGACAAAGCCAAAGUUCAGAGAGGACCAGUAAUAGAGCCUUUCUGAGUGUGAGCUUACCACACAACUGCCCAGCAACUGCUACAUUUCCCAUCUCCCUCAAAGAAGGUAGCUACUGUUAUUAACUGUGCAGGAUAGUGUGGUUCUUCUGAGUUUUUAAAAACUGUUGUGGACGUGCAAGUUGGCAUGACUACCAAUAAGCAGAUGGGCCCCUGCAAUGUGAGUUUUGGAUGAGAGAAGUAUAUCACAAGAAGGGGGAAGACCAGACUAAGGCUGGGAUUGGUGAAGAAGCCAAAGCCACUCCUAGGAGCCAGGACCCAC